rnacentral:lncRNA from 1 species
AAAAAAGAAAAAAGGAGAAAAGGAAAAAGAGCUGCAUACCUGGCAGGCCUACUGUGUGCAAAGCCCUUGAGUGACACACCCUAUGACCCACAGCACUGUGGCAAUCCCAGGGCCGCACCAGCUCUCUCUCCUUCCCCUCCUCAGGGCCACACCAACUGUGGGGUUCCAGCUAUCACUCUGUGCAAAGGACUCCUAACAUGGGUGUCCUCCGUCUCACCCCAUAAGCCACACUGGCCAAGGCCAGGCAGGCACCACACAUCGCGAGACACAUGCUUGGUCACUGGGCUGUGGAACAUACAGGAGCCCCGUGCUCCGGAACACGGACCACCCGACAGGAGCACGGACACAGCAGUCGGGGCGACGUGGGUGCCUCACAGAAGAGGGAAAAAGCCAGGAGGGCGGCACGUGGGCGCAAAGUUCUCAGCUUCGUUAGUCAUCAAGAAAAUGCAAACUAAAACCAAGGUAAGUGUGAGGGUUACUACUGAGUUUCAACUUGACUGGACUAAAGGAUGUGUAACUGUUCCUGGGAGCAUCUUGAGGAAGCUGCCAAAGGAGAUUCACAUUGAGUCAGUGGACGGGGAGAGGCCGACGAACCCUCCAUCUGGGGGGGCAUGAUCUCAUCAGCUGCCAGCACGGCAGAUCUGCGGAAGCACUGGACUGGCUGAGUCUUCCAGCCUCCAUCUUUCUUCCAUGCUGGAUACUUCCUGCCCUCGAACAUCAGACUCCAAGUGCUUCAGCUUUUGGGUUCUUGGACCUACACCAGUGGUUUGCCAGGGGUUCUUGGGCCUUCGGCCACAGACUGAAAGCUGCGCUGUUGGCUUCCCGACUUUUGAGGUUUGGGGACUCGGACUGGCUUCCUGGCUCCUCAGCUUGCCAACAGCCUAUUGUGGGACUUCACCUCAUGACUGUGUGAGUCAAUACUCCCAAUAAACUCCCCUCCAUAUAUACAUUUA